rnacentral:rRNA from 1 species
UACGUAGGGUGCGAGCGUUAAUCGGAAUUACUGGGCGUAAAGCGCGCGUAGGCGGCUACCUAAGUCGGAUGUGAAAGCCCCUGGCUUAACUGGGGAAGUGCACCCGAAACUGAGUAGCUAGAGUGCGAAAGAGGGUCGCGGAAUUCCCGGUGUAGAGGUGAAAUUCGUAGAUAUCGGGAGGAACACCGGUGGCGAAGGCGGCGACCUGGGUCGACACUGACGCUGAGGCGCGAAAGCGUGGGGAGCAAACAGG